rnacentral:rRNA from 1 species
GUCGAGGGGCAGCAUAGAAGUAGCAAUACUUUGGUGGCGACCGGCGCACGGGUGAGUAACGCGUAUGCAACCUACCUAUCAGAGGGGAAUAACCCGGCGAAAGUCGGACUAAUACCGCAUAAAACAGGGGCACCGCAUGGUGAUAUUUGUUAAAGAAAUUCGCUGAUAGAUGGGCAUGCGUUCCAUUAGGUAGUUGGUGAGGUAACGGCUCACCAAGCCGACGAUGGAUAGGGGAACUGAGAGGUUGGUCCCCCACACUGGUACUGAGACACGGACCAGACUCCUACGGGAGGCAGCAGUGAGGAAUAUUGGUCAAUGGGCGGGAGCCUGAACCAGCCAAGUCGCGUGAAGGAAGAAGGAUCUAUGGUUCGUAAACUUCUUUUGCAGGGGAAUAAAGUGCAGGACGUGUCCUGUUUUGUAUGUACCCUGAGAAUAAGGAUCGGCUAACUCCGUGCCAGCAGCCGCGGUAAUACGGAGGAUCCGAGCGUUAUCCGGAUUUAUUGGGUUUAAAGGGUGCGUAGGUGGUUUGAUAAGUCAGCGGUGAAAGUUUGCAGCUUAACUGUAAAAAUGCCGUUGAAACUGUCGGACUUGAGUGUAAAUGAGGUAGGCGGAAUGCGUGGUGUAGCGGUGAAAUGCAUAGAUAUCACGCAGAACUCCGAUUGCGAAGGCAGCUUACUAAGCUACAACUGACACUGAAGCACGAAAGCGUGGGGAUCAAACAGGAUUAGAUACCCUGGUAGUCCACGCAGUAAACGAUGAUUACUAGCUGUUUGCGAUACACAGUAAGCGGCACAGCGAAAGCGUUAAGUAAUCCACCUGGGA